UUCACACACGCUUGUUGAUCGACCGUUAAUUGAACGGUAGGUCUGAAAGAUAGUUGCUAGCAGAAUAGGUGAGAGGAAAGCGUGGGAGCCACAGUACAUGGAAUAUUCACAGGCAUCUGAGCUUCAGCAUCACAUAGAAAGGGUAUUUGGGCCACUCUACCCUACGCACGUGCUUCCAAUCCUCUCCUCCCAUCUACACGAGCUUCUCAAUGAACGUUACCAUGGUAACACGGUGGGUUUCUUCAAGCACUUUCUCUAUCCGGCUGCAAAACUUUUGGACCGACUCAGCAAAAGCU